AUUGAACGCUGGCGGCAGGCCUAACACAUGCAAGUCGAGCGGAUGAAGGGGGCUUGCUCCUGGAUUCAGCGGCGGACGGGUGGGUAAUGCCUAGGAAUCUGCCUGGUCGUGGGGGAUAACGUCCGUAAACGGGCGCUAAUACCGCAUACGUCCUUAGGGAGAAAGUGGGGGAUCUUCGGACCUCACGCUAUCAGAUGAGCCUAGGUCGGAUUAGCUAGUUGGUGGGGUAAAGGCCUACCAAGGCGACGAUCCGUAACUGGUCUGAGAGGAUGAUCAGUCACACUGGAACUGAGACACGGUCCAGACUCCUACGGGAGGCAGCAGUGGGGAAUAUUGGACAAUGGGCGAAAGCCUGAUCCAGCCAUGCCGCGUGUGUGAAGAAGGUCUUCGGAUUGUAAAGCACUUUAAGUUGGGAGGAAGGGCAGUAAGUUAAUACCUUGCUGUUUUGACGUUACCAACAGAAUAAGCACCGGCUAACUUCGUG
rnacentral:rRNA from 1 species